rnacentral:rRNA from 1 species
UACAGAGGGUGCUAGCGUUGUUCGGAAUCAUUGGGCGUAAAGGGCGUGUAGGCGGUUUGUUAAGUCAUGUGUGAAAGCCCCCGGCUCAACCGGGGAACGACGCAUGAAACUGGCAAGCUAGAGUACCGAAGAGGGGGGUGGAAUUCCCGGUGUGAGCGGUGAAAUGCGUAGAUAUCGGGAGGAACGACCGGUGGCGAAGGCGGGUCUCUGGGCCGAUACUGACGCUGAGGAGCGAAAGCGUGGGGAGCGAACAGG